CGUUGUCGUAGGGCAACGCACAAUGACUUUACAAAUCCCACAAAUUUUGCAUCACCGCUUCCAUUCCACCUUCCACCAUGGUUUAUUCAUAUUUAUAAACAAUACGUAGAGCUCUGUAGGGUUGGAUUCUUUAUAUGUGCGUUUGGUGCGUCAAAGAAAAGAAUUUGAGAAUCUCUCCAUUGAAC